CAGCGCGUCAAUCCCGGCGGGAACCUCGGCUGCGGAAGGCGGCUGUGGCCGGCGGGAGCCGAGGGGUAGGAAUGGAGCGCUGAGGAAGCGAGGCGCCAGCCCUAGCCGCUUCGCUGCCGCGGAGCCUGCUCGACCGAGAGGUCGCGGAGAGAAGCCAGAGACAGGCCAACGACCUGGCGAGGCAAGAAAAUAAGAUAACCGAACGCGUAGGGGGAGCUUGGCUUUCCCGAAAUGGAAGGGAAGGAAAUGGAAGAGAGAAGAUCUAGCUAUGUUACCCAAGCUGGAUUUGACCUCCUGGGCUCAAGGGAUCCUCCUACCUCAGCCUCCCGCAUAGCAGGGACUACAGCUGCACACCACUACCCAGCUCCCUUCUUCAUGUCUUAACUGUCCUUAUUAUCACAGUGAAUAAUGCCCAAUCUAUUAGUGAAUAA